ensembl:snRNA U5 U5 spliceosomal RNA
AUACUCCAGUUUCUCUUCAGAUCAUAUAACUCUUUCAUCUUUUACUAAGGAUUUCUAUGAAGAGGAACAGCUCUGAGUUUUUAAUUUUUCGAGACCUUGCAUUGGCAGGGCU